CCAAACCGACACAGGUGGUCAGGUAGAGAAUACCAAGGCGCUUGAGAGAACUUGGGUGAAGGAACUAGGCAAAAUGGUACCGUAACUUCGGGAGAAGGUACGCUGCCGACGGUGAUAGGAUUUACUCCUUGAGCUAUUGGCAGCCACAGAAACCAGGCCCCUGCAACUGUUUAUUAAAAACAUAGCACUCUGCAAACACGAAAGUGGACGUAUAGG
rnacentral:rRNA from 1 species